GACAGAGGGUGCAAACGUUGUUCGGAAUUACUGGGCGUAAAGCGCGUGUAGGCGGCAUGACAAGUCGGGUGUGAAAGCCCUGGGCUCAACCCAGGAAGUGCACUCGAUACUGUCGUGCUAGAGUCCAGGAGAGGGUGGUGGAACUCUCGGUGUAGAGGUGAAAUUCGUAGAUAUCGAGAAGAACACCGGUGGCGAAGGCGGCCACCUGGACGGUGACUGACGCUGAGACGCGAAAGCGUGGGGAGCAAACAGG
rnacentral:rRNA from 1 species